rnacentral:rRNA from 1 species
UCCUACGGGGCGCAGCAGUGGGGAAUAUUGCACAAUGGGGAGAACCCUGAUGCAGCGACGCCGCGUGAGUGAAGAAGUAUUUCGGUAUGUAAAGCUCUAUCAGCAGGGAAGAAAAUGACGGUACCUGACUAAGAAGCCCCGGCUAACUACGUGCCAGCAGCCGCGGUAAUACGUAGGGGGCAAGCGUUAUCCGGAUUUACUGGGUGUAAAGGGAGCGUAGACGGCAGAGCAAGUCUGCAGUGAAAGCCCGCGGCCCCACUGCGGGACUGCUUUGGAAACUCCCCGGCUUGAGUGCU